UGGAAGUAAAAAGUCGUAACAAGGUCUCCGUUGGUGAACCAGCGGAGGGAUCAUUACAGAGUUGCAAAACUCCCUAAACCAUUGUGAACGUUACCUAAACCGUUGCUUCGGCGGGCGGCCCCGGGGUUUACCCCCCGGGCGCCCCUGGGCCCCACCGCGGGCGCCCGCCGGAGGUCACCAAACUCUUGAUAAUUUAUGGCCUCUCUGAGUCUUCUGUACUGAAUAAGUCAAAACUUUCAACAACGGAUCUCUUGGUUCUGGCAUCGAUGAAGAACGCAGCGAAAUGCGAUAAGUAAUGUGAAUUGCAGAAUUCAGUGAAUCAUCGAAUCUUUGAACGCACAUUGCGCCCGCCAGUAUUCUGGCGGGCAUGCCUGUUCGAGCGUCAUUUCAACCAUCAAGCCCCCGGCUUGUGUUGGGGACCUGCGGCUGCCGCAGGCCCUGAAAAGCAGUGGCGGGCUCGCUGUCACACCGAGCGUAGUAGCAUACAUCUCGCUCUGGGCGUGCUGCGGGUUCCGGCCGUUAAACCACCUUUAACCCAAGGUGACCUCGAUCAGGUAGAGACAAACUUAUACCCC
rnacentral:rRNA from 1 species